ensembl:lncRNA
GAUGUAGAUGUGAGGAUGCCGUCCACCAGAAUAUGAAAGUUCAAACAGCAGUUGAAGGUGCAGCUGUAACAAUCAAUUGUUCAUAUACAACCACUGAUCCAUCGCCAACUCUCUUCUGGUACCAGCAAAAAGUAAAUGGAUUCCCAGAGUACAUGCUGAACAGACUUGCUACUUAUGGAAAUAAUGAGGAAGAGUUUUAGAAGAGAUUUAAUGCAAGUCUGAACACACUAACAAAAUCAGUUCCUCUGACAAUCCAAAAUCUCUGUGUGUCUGACUCCGCUGUGUACUACUGUGCUCUGAGGACCACAGUGACUGAAACACACUCAACACUCAUACAAAAAAUAUUUUCAGCCUGAAGGUGGCGAUAUCUACAUACACACGAUGCCUCAUAUUUACUAUUGUAAGCAUUGAUUGUAAGUAAACUUCUGCUAUUGAACAUUAUCACACGAUAAGCAGGAAAUAAAGCUUCUCUUAUAGUUGUGGAGGACUGCUGUGAAAUUUGUCUAUUCACCCAUCCCCCUCAAAGAUAAAAAAAGAUGACUUGGUUGCUUGUUUUAUUGAUUUGUGUCUUUAAUUUCUAUGGUAAGUAAUCAAAACUGUCAUUCAACCUUUAUUUGUGUAAAUUAAAAAAUAAAAAAUAAAAACAAAACUUCUUAAAAAGACACUAUGCUCUCACAUCUAGCUCUUUACUAUUGAGCUCAAUUUCAAAUAAUAAUUAUCAAAUGACAAUUUUCUAAUUGCUGCUGUAGUACAACACAGUACAUCCUUUCAUAGUGGAUGAAAAACAGGAGAUUGUAACUGGAUCUUUCUUCUGUUCUCCAGGAGUGAAAUGGAAACAGAGAGGUGGGUCUACACAGAUCUAAUACGAUCUAAUCAAUCCAGACUGGAGAACAAACUAUUCAGUCUUCCUGAGAACACAGUGCACUGCACAAUGGAUAUCUUUUCAGUUUUUCUCUUCUAUAGUCUGGCAUCUGCUGUCUCUGGAAACAUCAUCACACCAGACAAAACAGAGCUUUUUGCUGAGGAGGGUUCAAAUGUUACAUUAUCCUGUAGUUAUUCCUCUGCAGAUUAUCUUUACUGGUACCGUCAAUAUCCCGGUUCAGCUCCUGAAUUUCUUGAGCUCAUCCUUGAUGGCACAACAAGCACCAAAAAGUCUGAAGUAGAUCCAAGACUCUCAGUUAAACUCAUUAAACGAGAACAAAAGCAUGUGGAUCUGGAGAUCUCCUCUGCUGCUGUAUCAGACUCUGCUCUGUACUACUGUGCUCUGAGGCCCACAGUCACAGCAAACAUUUGGGUUCCCUACAAAAACCUUUUAACCAGUGAGAGAGAGCAAGAAUAGAGCUGAUGCAGUGAAACAAACAGUCUAAAAUUGACAUUAUGGCAUUCACACAACAUACUGUCUUUCACUUUGCAUGCACUCCACUUUUUCCAAGUAAUUUAAUAGGUUCUAUAUGCUAUAAAAAGUGUAAAAUGAUAAUCACAAUGUGCAGGCACAUUUCUACCACAGGACUGCAGUGUUGUCAAAUGUUUUUGAGAAAAUGCACACAUGGAUCUUUUUUUCCCAUGCAUAAGGCAAAAGCUUCAGCUGUAAGGUUUAUGCAGUUUAUAUAAUAGAAACAGGAUAUAAAAUAAUAGAAUAUAAACAAUUUAUAACAAUACAUACAUACACAUAUUACAUUAUGUCUAUAAAUCUCAGAAAGACCGA